GUGCAGAGCCUGAUAAAAAGGGCUAUCUUGAUAGGGUAAAAUUUGUAAUCUUUACCUGCGCUA
rnacentral:tRNA from 1 species